AAGAAUUCUUAAAGUACAAGCAAAAUUUGGCGGCAGACGACGUAAACGGAAGAAUCCUUGCUGGUUUGAUUGAGAAAAUGAUUCAAUUUAAAGAAGAAGAAAGAAUCGGAUUGCCUGAGGUCAUAAAACAACUUGCCGCUGUAUUGUACGGGAUGGACAAAAUCAAAUGUCAAUUGAGGCUCGUUGCUGUGUCGUUAGGUGCUGGGUAUUACGAAAAUACGAGAAUCCGUUCCCACCCCACUGAACCGAUUCUUGCAUGUGCCAAUGAGAAAAAGUUAAUAUUUUACACUGCCGAAAAUUUGGCUAUUCCGUUUUCCAAUUGGAGAAA